AAUUUCUUAACUAUAUGUUAAGUAAAUAUCUUGAAAAUAUUUUAAAGAAGUUGAAGUCUUCUAGAAAUUU
rnacentral:tRNA from 1 species